rnacentral:rRNA from 1 species
AUUCCAGCUCCAAUAGCGUAUAUUAAUGUUGUUGCAGUUAAAAAGCUCGUAGUUGGAUUCCUGGCCUGGGGUAGCCGGUCCGCCUUGCAAAAGGUGCGCACUGAGCGGCCUCGGCCAUCCUUGGGAAGAGCAGUCCUGGCAUUCAGUUGUCGGGGUUGGGAUUCCCGACGUUUACUGUGAAAAAAUCAGAGUGUUCAACGCAGGCUUACGCCUUGAAUACAUUAGCAUGGAAUAAUGAGAUAGGACCUUGGCGGUCUAUUUUGUUGGUUUGCACGCCGAGGUAAUGAUUAAAAGGGACGGUUGGGGUUCUUCGUAUUCAAUUGUCAGAGGUGAAAUUCUUGGAUUUAUGGAAGACGAACUGCUGCGAAAGCGUCGAACAAGGACGUUCUCAUCA